rnacentral:tRNA from 1 species
GGGGGUACAGCUCAGGGGUGGGGUGCAUACCUGGCACGCACGAGGUCCUGGGUUCAAUCCCCAGUACCUCCA